rnacentral:miRNA from 1 species
GCAGACACAUUCCAGCCAAUCAGCAGCAGAACCUCCCUCCCUGACCCUCCCACCUCCUCCACAGCUAACUAAGAAUGCAGCUUUACAAUGGAUGCUGUCCAGGAGGUGGGAGGGUCUGGGAGGGAGGGUCUGCUGCUGAUUGGCUGGAAUGUGUCU